UGCCUUACACAUGCAAGUCGAACGGUAGAGGUAGCAAUACCUUGAGAGUGGCGAACGGGUGAGUAAUGCAUCGGAACAUGCCCAACUGUGGGGGAUAACGUAGCGAAAGUUACGCUAAUACCGCAUACGAUCUACGGAUGAAAGCGGGGGACCGUAAGGCCUCGCGCAGUUGGAGUGGCUGAUGUCAGAUUAGCUAGUUGGUAGGGUAAAAGCCUACCAAGGCAACGAUCUGUAGCUGGUCUGAGAGGACGACCAGCCACACUGGGACUGAGACACGGCCCAGACUCCUACGGGAGGCAGCAGUGGGGAAUUUUGGACAAUGGGGGCAACCCUGAUCCAGCAAUGCCGCGUGCAGGAAGAAGGCCUUCGGGUUGUAAACUGC
rnacentral:rRNA from 1 species